GUCGCUACUCGGCCUGAUGGCUAAGAUCGAAGUGUAAUAUCUGUUCUUAUCAGUUUAACAUCUGAUACGCUGUCCAUAGGGCGGUCAGAAUAUUAAUCUGCGAGUCGACUCGGCAUUGCAGUAGCGGACAGUUACCUGUU